rnacentral:lncRNA from 1 species
AUGACGAAGGAGGCGCGUGACGGAGGAGCGGUUGGCCAGCGCUGCGGCCUCCGUCGGUGUAAACAAGGCCUCGCGCCGCUGCAGGUCCGGCGACCGCUCCUGGCUGGAUUGGGGAAGGUUUGUGUUCCUGAAGCCUUGGGAGUUGUCACAGGCUACAGAGAAGGGAUUUCAGUCCCUAGGAGGGGUAGCCCUCCUAGAGAUAGCUCCCGCUUUAUCUCGGGAGACCCUGGUGUUUCUAGAGCAGGCU